UCUUGCAGGGAAGUGGUCAUUGUCGCCGGCCAGGGGGCUUGGGCGUCAUGAGAGACCCGGCGCGGGAUUAGAAGAAGGUCGGGCGUCGGGAGGCGAGGUGCCGGCUCGGCAGCCCGAGCGCGCUGCAGGCUUAUUGGUAGCUACUCAACUAGACUCUCUCCUGGUGACAUUAAUCACACCACACAGGAUUUCUUUUGAACUUCUUGAUUCUUUUCCAUUAUAGGUUAUUACAAGAUACUGAAUAUAGUUCCCUGUACUAUACUUGUGCUUCCAUUCAUUUGGUCCUGCAUUACAGUCCAGUAAGCCAAGCUCAGUGAACAUGCUUAUCUCAAAGUUAAAGGAAGAGGCCCUAACUGAAAAAACCAGAAAAAAAAGGCAUCCUGUUGUGUAAAUGUGGUGAGACAAAGCCCCACGUCCCUCCAGGGAACUGGAAGGAGUACUCAUCCUCUCUCCUCACCCCAAGAGGUGGAAGACAUUGCAAAAUGCCUGCCCCAGUCAUCUAGCAACACAAAAAGCCAUCACUGGGGUCUAGAACAGCUGUGCACAGGACCCCCCUGGACAUCAGUAACAACCGAGGAAUCUGCUUUACAGGCUGCGAAGUUCAGGAAUGGGCCAAUGAAGAUGACACACAUGGCAUUUCUACAUGCCUUACAGCCUGCUGCUGCCGGGAUACUUAAACAACAGUCGAAACGGGAGACCAGCUCUCAAUAUGCAGAUGCAUCCCAGGAGCAGUCAUCCCAGUGUUUACGCUACGUUAAGUCAGAGACAACUAGUCAAUGUGAUCUGAGUUCAGCUGCUGACCACCAAAGAAGGACUGCUGCCAACUAUCAGCCGGGACAAUGAGUCGCUUUUGCCCUGGCCACAGGAUCUACCCCCAGGAGAACACAUUAUAAAAUGGCCCUGGGACUGGCAGGGCCUCAUUAACUGCUGCGUGCUUGCCCCCUGCCCCAGCUGCUGGUUUCCCUGGUAACCGAGCCAACUUGAUGUCAAUUCCCCCUAUACGCGGUAGCCUCCUUCACCACCCCCCACCCCAAACAGCAACGACUGCUGCCGGGCCCUGCCUGUCGCCUGCCACACACAGUGGGAUGUUGCUCCAGGCCCUUGCUUCAGACGCGUAAGAUCCCCCUGUGCGUGAAGCCAUUGACGUCUCUGUCGCUGGCUCUGGGUUUGCUCUUCUUCAGUCUUGAGGCUGGGCUUGCAGCUCAGCAGUUUCCUGGAAAGUGGCCUCUGGAACUAGAUUGAUGGCAUUCAAAACCCAGCUGUGUCACUUAGCUGUGAGACUUGGCAUGUUACUUAACCUGUCUUUGACUCAGUUUACUCGUCUGUAAAAAUGAGGAUAAUAAUAAUACCAUCUGUCUCGUAGGGCUGCGAGGAUUAAAUUAGUUACUGUAGCCAAUGUCUGGAACCGCAUAGUAAAGCAUUCAAUAACUUGUCUUUGAUGCUGUCGUUGCGUGAGAAAUCUGACUUUCUGUACUGCACUGGGUCCAAGAGCCAAAGACAGAAUAGCUUGCUUGCUUGUGACCUUUGUUUCUUCUCCUUGAAUUGUUAUUUUUCCAUUUAAAAUAUAAUACACAUAAAGAAGACUCACAAUAGCUGACAUGAUUGAUGCUUAUUAAAUGUACCACAGUACUGAGCAGUUUGUAGGCAUUAGUUCACGAAUCAUCACAAUAACUCUAGGGAGUUGAUAGCAGUUUUUAGAUGCAGUGACAGAUUCUUAAAGGAACUAAUAGACCUAACCAAAGUGGCGGAACUUGAACUUAAAAGCAGUCCUGCUUGUCAGACUAUGUACAGAAAACGAACCCAAAUAUUACCAGUAGUUGUCACUGGAUCAUAAAAUUGGAGUGAUGUUUUAAAAUAUCUGCAUUUAUCCCUGUUUCAUGUAAUAAGAACAUAUUUCUUUGAUAACAAGACGUUAUUUAAGUCUCUAUUUAGAAAUGCUAGUGUCUACACAAUUCAGCUUCACAGUGAAUAGUGGUUACUCUCAUUUCUCACUCCUGUGAACCAAAAAGUAGUCUAUCUUUGAACUCGUCUUUUUAUCCUCUGCACAAAGCAGUUCUAUUACAGCUUUCUAAAAAUGUUUUAGAAUCUGAAUUCAUCUACUGGUUCUUAACACAAGUGUAAAAUGCACAGAUUUUUAACAAUUCAAGUGAAAAUCCAGCAUCACGUUUAACUUGGCAUCGGAAGGUCUCCUUGCUUUUACCCAUUAUGUCCCUGAGGGAAACCCCCUGACGAGUUUGCACGGGGAUCAGCAACAGAAAAGGGAAGCCAGGUGGAAACAGAAAUGCAGCCUGGUGACACUCUCAGAGGAGGCAGGUUUGUCCCACACUCAUUCUCUCUCAGAACUUGUAAGGAAGGGAGAAGAGGAAAGAAAUGCAGCAUGUGACCGAUCAGAUUCAUGGCUAGUGGUCAUGCUUAUUCUAGUGCCUGCCAGGUCCUAGGUGCUUUUUACCAGUGUUAUGCCAUUUUAUCUUCUGAGAUCAGUGUGAAAUGGGUAUUACUGGUCCCACCUGACAGUUAAGGGCAAUAAGGCUCAGAUCAAGCAGCUCUCACAGUCAUGCAUAUGGUAGGUAGCAGACAAGGGAUUUGAAUGCUGGUCUCCAAAUGACCUACACUUAAUCUUUAUAUAAUGCUGCCAACCCACUCAUCAUUCCCAGUGCCCGGAAGUAAGAGGCAGUAAUCUAUUAGAAGUAUCAUAUGCAAAAGUAUCCAUAAAUGGGAAUACUGUAGCAAAAGACUAGUAAAUAAGUAUGGUUCUAUUUGCACACCAAUCUGUACUUCCUUUACUUUUCUAUGUAAGAACCUGUUCUUUGAUUAUAUUUUUCAGCUCAGAUAGUGUCUGAUAAACCUAUGAUCCUUGCUAUGGAGUGCAAGGCAAAUUUUCAUUCAGUGACUUACAAUAAAUAGUAGAUCUGUUUUAUAAAAACAAAUCGUUGGACCCAUGAUAUUACUGUAAAUAGAACUAGAGUCCUCAAAUUAGCUAAUUAGGUUCUCUGAGGUCUCUGGAAAGACGAUAACCAAUUCUGUGACCCAUCUCUAAGGCUCUCAUCAUCUUUGACGUUUCUGUCAAUUUAUUAUUCUCUGUAUCUGUCAACAUGGAGAUCAAACAGAAGAGUGUGGACUUCAUAUUGCUUUCAGAACUUUAUGAGUGAAUAAGGACAUUUAGACAAUGGAAUAUGUUACCGAAGCACGUUAUGAAGAUUUUUUUUUUCCCAAGAGGCUGAGCUGUCAUUUGCCUGGGAUGGUUCAGGACAGUUCUGCCUGGAGGCAGGGCUAUGGACUCAUUAACCUUCUAGCCCUGCAACUCUGUCAAUCUCAAUUCUCUCCACAGUUUCAAUCAGAUACAGCUGCCUCUAGUUUCCUCCUGGUUGGUUCAGUGUGGCUGUGUGCUCUUGCAAUUUUCCAUAUUGCAGGAGAAAAAAGCAUCUUCAAUAUAUGUCUGUAGCUGUGCAUGAGGCAGUGUGCAUGGUGGCUCUUUCCUCACCAAAAGUCUCAGCGUAAACUAUAUUGAUGAGCCUACAGGGAUAUAGAUGAGCCUACAGGGAUAUAGAAAAGCACCAUGGGCCAAAUAUAGAUGAUUCUUAUUUUUUCUCUUUGCAUAUAGAUGAGUACACAGCUGCGGUGCUCUCAGGAGGCCUAGGAGUCAACUUGGUCCAAAGGAAUGACUGUGCUAUUUUUGCACUUUCCCUCAUAUUAUUUCUCAAGGCUUGAGGGAAUUUAAAUGUGACUUACUUGGCAAUGACAAGUCUCUGUCCCCUCGGUACCUCCAGAAUGAGCUCAUUUACACAAGUCACUUCACCAUAGCUCAUUCUGUUUCUUCAUAGAAAAACAGUAUCACUUGGAUGGAAUCUAAAGGAUGGAUGGGGUUUUUUCCCCUUAAAAAUAACUGCUUUUAAAACAUGUUACUAUUAAAUUCAUGGUACUUGUGUGGUGAUUAAUAUGUUUUCUUGAAAGAGACAAGAAUCAUUUCACAGAAGCUUAGUAUUACUAGUGAAGGGAAUGAGGCUCUGAGAAGUCGAAUGACUUGGAUAUGGUCUCCCCAUAAACUGGAGGCAUCACCAGGACUAGAAUCCAGCUCUCUGGUGCCCAGGUCCAGAGUGCAAACCUCACUGCCUUUCUCAAGACCCUCUCCACUCCUGAAUGAAACUGAUCUUAACAAAAACAAUAAAAUCUCUCUUCAAUUAAAUGCUACACUACUUUUAUCAUAAAGUAGAAUUUUGUACAUUAGUACACGUAAUGCCUGUUACUAUGAUUCUUACAGAAUUUUAUUUACGAAACAAUGAAACUUGUCUAUUCCCUUGUGAAAAUCCAUUAAAAGGGAGACAAUAAUCAAGUCAAGCUUAAAAUACACAAUGAAUUCGAAUUUGGAGAAAAGGGCCAUUCAGAGUCUUUCUCUGUAGAGGGAAUAAUGGAAGGCCUUGGAGGAGGUGGUGACUUGAUUACAGCCAUGGUGCUUUACAGAGUGGGCACUUAGUUAGGGUUUUAAAAUAAUAAAUGAACUUGCUUAUAGGAAUUUCUAAGCUUGUAAGGGACUUUUACAAAUAUUAUGGAUGAUUCCUGUGCUUUUUAAUAUAUUGAUGUGUAUUUCUGAUAGAAUAUGUUUAAAUGGAAAUCAAGACAACUUUGAACAAACUUAACCUAAAUGAUAAAAAUUCUUUCUCUAGAAUUUCAGGGACUCCUACAAUAGUUGUGUCAAGAUUAAGGUUUUCGUCAUUAUCAUGCUGUCAAUACAAUUGGCUGUCAGUAUUUUCUUACAUUUGUAGGGAGGUAGAUCAAUAUUUCUAAUGAGAGAGAGAAAUUCAAAUGAUCUAUUUCUCACUUAGCCAAGAUUUUAAAAAGCAAUUUACUGACUUGCUCAUUCAUUCUUUCAACAAAUGCUUAACAUUGCAUGCCUAGUAUGAUAGGCAAUAUAGGAAAGUGAGGACUCUGAAGUCAGAGUACCUGGGUUUUAUGUUCUGGUUUUCUAUGUACUAGAUGUGAUCUUGAGUAAUUUGUUCCUCAACAUCCUCAUUUGUAAGAAUGGAGGUAAUAAUUAUACCUAUUAUUAUAGAUUAAAUGGUAUUAGAAUGUUUAGAAGAGCAAACGGUAAGGACAAAAUACCUGUUAGCUGCUGCAGUUAUGUAUUAUGG